rnacentral:lncRNA from 1 species
UUGCAAUUAAUAAACUUUAUGGAAAUGAAAUCUUCUAAUUUCGUGAUUAGUCCUCAGGUGAUCCAACAUCGAUCGAUGACUCUAAACGGCUGUCGAUCGAUUUUAAUUGGCUUCGGUCGAUCGACAUUGCUCUUCAAGCGUCGAUUGGUGCUCUACACGUAAAAGCACUCCAAAGUGUCCCAAAAGCAACAUUUCCUUCUAUCAAGUAACUGAACCUGUAAUUGCUUUGAA